UAACAAAAGAUUUCCUCUGUGGGGAUUGAC
rnacentral:piRNA from 1 species